UACGAAGGGGGCUAGCGUUGUUCGGAAUUACUGGGCGUAAAGCGCACGUAGGCGGAUCGAUCAGUCAGGGGUGAAAUCCCAGGGCUCAACCCUGGAACUGCCUUUGAUACUGUCGAUCUGGAGUAUGGAAGAGGUGAGUGGAAUUCCGAGUGUAGAGGUGAAAUUCGUAGAUAUUCGCAAGAACACCAGUGGCGAAGGCGGCUCACUGGCCCGAUACUGACGCUGAGGUGCGAAAGCGUGGGGAGCAAACAGG
rnacentral:rRNA from 1 species